rnacentral:lncRNA from 10 species
GGCUGAUGGAAAUGACCUCUGUGCAGCUAAGGAUGCUAUGCUUUGUUUCUUGAGCUGAACUGCAAUUGUGCCCAGCCUUCCUGGGACAAGGGUGGGAACUCAGGAGUUACUACAACCACCGCCACCCCACCCUGGGAAGGCCAUUUGUGGUCUUGGACAAGUUCCCUCCCACGUGGCUGGACGAGCCCUCAGGCGACAGCUGCGUUCUGUCGAGGAAGCCACCCAUGUGGAUGCCUGGAGAGAGCUGGCAUGUCACUUGCAGCUGAGUCCCCUGGGUCCGAGGCGGUGCCUGGCACACGAGCAGACUCAGCUCUGAUGCCCCAAGUUGCAGAG